rnacentral:rRNA from 1 species
UACGUAGGGCGCAAGCGUUAUCCGGAAUUAUUGGGCGUAAAGCGCGCGUAGGCGGAACGUUAAGUCCGGUCUGAAAGCCCCCGGCUCAACCGGGGAGGGUGGCUGGAAACUGGCGUUCUUGAGGGCGAGAGAGGAGGGUGGAAUUCCUGGUGUAGCGGUGAAAUGCGUAGAGAUCAGGAGGAACACCCGUGGCGAAGGCGGCCCUCUGGGCAUUACCUGACGCUGAGGAGCGAAAGUGUGGGGAGCGAACAGG